rnacentral:rRNA from 1 species
GACUGCGUACCUUUUGUAUAAUGGGUCAGCGACUUAUAUUCUGUAGCAAGGUUAACCGAAUAGGGGAGCCGAAGGGAAACCGAGUCUUAACUGGGCGUUAAGUUGCAGGGUAUAGACCCGAAACCCGGUGAUCUAGCCAUGGGCAGGUUGAAGGUUGGGUAACACUAACUGGAGGACCGAACCGACUAAUGUUGAAAAAUUAGCGGAUGACUUGUGGCUGGGGGUGAAAGGCCAAUCAAACCGGGAGAUAGCUGGUUCUCCCCGAAAGCUAUUUAGGUAGCGCCUCGUGAAUUCAUCUCCGGGGGUAGAGCACUGUUUCGGCAAGGGGGUCAUCCCGACUUACCAACCCGAUGCAAACU